UACGUAGGGUGCAAGCGUUAUCCGGAAUUAUUGGGCGUAAAGAGCUCGUAGGCGGUUUGUCGCGUCUGCUGUGAAAACUGGGGGCUCAACCCCCAGCCUGCAGUGGGUACGGGCAGACUAGAGUGCGGUAGGGGAGAAUGGAAUUCCUGGUGUAGCGGUGGAAUGCGCAGAUAUCAGGAGGAACACCGAUGGCGAAGGCAGAUCUCUGGGCCGUAACUGACGCUGAGGAGCGAAAGCAUGGGGAGCGAACAGG
rnacentral:rRNA from 1 species